UUCCAAAGAAGUAACAUACAUUGCUAUCGAAGGUCGUUUGACCCCCUAAAUAAUUCGCCGAAGUUGGGACUUCGACACAGUUUUUCCGUAGUGCCGGAAAAAAUUUGUCAAAAUCCGAUUCUUCCUCUUUUAACCGCUUCUACAACCCUUAUCCGACCCCUCUAGACUAUAUCCACCCUUUGUAUAGCCUAAUGUCAUCAAAAAACUAGAUAGG
rnacentral:lncRNA from 1 species